rnacentral:lncRNA from 1 species
CUUUUUACUUUUUAAAACUGAAGGAUCUAAGAUUUCUCCUCUUGUUCAGGAAGUGAGAGCAGAAUGAGACAGAAAAGAUGAAUGCAGCGAGAAAGAAUGAACCUUGUGGUCCUUCUGUUUCACGCUCUUGCACGAUCUUCCCAUGUCUGGGUGACCAAGCUCUUUCUAGCCUGAAUCAGCAUGGAGAACAAGCAGAGGAUGGAUUUCUGCAAGAUGUGAGGACUGCGAUAUUCCCGUUCACGCAUGAACCACAGCUGCGGUCCCUAGGUGAGCCACAGAUGGACAUGCAUGUCACAGCCCAGCCCACUGUAUGGCUUUGCCUGGGCCUAGUACUCACUCUCUGUUCCCAUCCUGGCAGAUCCCCUGACCUCUGGAGAAGGCUGCUACCAUUGCACUGACCCAACCUCACCAAGGCAUCAAAGGACAAAAGAAGGAACCAAAACGUGGGUGUCAUUACUGCAAGUCCCAUCGAGGUAAUACUCCAGUGGCACUGCAUCUUUGGU